AAGUCGUAACAAGGUUUCCGUAGGUGAACCUGCGGAAGGAUCAUUAACACGUAUCCACGUAUCAACCAAUGAGAAUUGUUUUCACCUCUCCCUGCACUGAGAAUGAAUUGGAACUUGAUAUAGGCCAUAAAUGGGGCUGCCGCAAGGCGCCAACCUAUAGAAGUCACUUAUUGAAGCGAAAGUUUUAAUAGACAAUUGUAUUUCAGUCCAGGCUCCGUCUCGCUAAUUUGAUCUCCAUUUAUGAUCGUGUUAGCGGGACACUAUAUUAACCUAUUUCACCCUUUUUUGCUAGUUGACUUUUAUAUGUUGUUCUUUGCGCUUGCGUAAGGUGCACACGUUUAAUUAUUUGAACGUUAAAAAUACAACUCUUAGCAAUGGAUAUCUUGGUUCUC
rnacentral:misc_RNA from 1 species